UAAAAUGGCUGAGUAAGCAUCAGGCUGUAAACCUGAAGACAGGGGUCUAGUCCUCUUUUUGCCA
rnacentral:tRNA from 1 species